rnacentral:rRNA from 1 species
GGGCACUCUAAGUUGACUGCCGGUGACAAACCGGAGGAAGGUGGGGAUGACGUCAAAUCAUCAUGCCCCUUAUGAUUUGGGCUACACACGUGCUACAAUGGACAAUACAAAGGGCAGCGAAACCGCGAGGUCAAGCAAAUCCCAUAAAGUUGUUCUCAGUUCGGAUUGUAGUCUGCAACUCGACUACAUGAAGCUGGAAUCGCUAGUAAUCGUAGAUCAGCAUGCUACGGUGAAUACGUUCCCGGGUCUUGUACACACCGCCCGUCACACCACGAGAGUUUGUAACACCCGAAGCCGGUGGAGUAACCAUUUUGGAGCUAGCCGUCGAAGGUGGGACAAAUGAUUGGGGUGAAGUCGUAACAAGGUAGCCGUAUCGGAAGGUGCGGCUGGAUCACCUCCUU